rnacentral:rRNA from 1 species
AGUGAACGCUGGCGGUAGGCCUAACACAUGCAAGUCGAACGGCAGCACAGUAAGAGCUUGCUCUUACGGGUGGCGAGUGGCGGACGGGUGAGGAAUACAUCGGAAUCUACUUUUUCGUGGGGGAUAACGUAGGGAAACUUACGCUAAUACCGCAUACGACCUACGGGUGAAAGCAUGGGAUCUUCGGACCUUGCGCGAUUGAAUGAGCCGAUGUCGGAUUAGCUAGUUGGCGGGGUAAAGGCCCACCAAGGCGACGAUCCGUAGCUGGUCUGAGAGGAUGAUCAGCCACACUGGAACUGAGACACGGUCCAGACUCCUACGGGAGGCAGCAGUGGGGAAUAUUGGACAAUGGGCGAAAGCCUGAUCCAGCCAUACCGCGUGGGUGAAGAAGGCCUUCGGGUUGUAAAGCCCUUUUGUUGGGAAAGAAAAGCAGCAGGUUAAUACCCCGCUGUUCUGACGUUACCCAAAGAAUAAGCACCGGCUAACUUCGUG